rnacentral:rRNA from 14 species
AUCGGGCGACUGUAUAGCAAAUACACAGGGUUUAGUUAAAGAUGUUUAUAUUUUAGAGCUGAUAUGUGACCAGUAUUUAUAGGCUCAUCGAUGCCUCUACAAACGUUGGCCGUAACUAUAACGGUCCCAAGGUAGCAAAUUUCCUUGUCGUUUAAGUAACGACCUGCAUGAAGGAUGGAACGAUUCGAUAGCUGUCUUGCGUACAUGUGCUGGUGAAAUAUUAGGGAGUGUGAAGAUACGGUAACAACGUUAUGGGACAAAAAGACCCUGUGAAGCUUUAUAGGGAUAUAAUUUAGUACAGGUUC